GACGAACGCUGGCGGCGUGCCUAAUACAUGCAAGUUGAGCGAUGAAGAUUGGUGCUUGCCCCAAUUUGAAGAGCAGCGAACGGGUGAGUAACGCGUGGGGAAUCUGCCUUUGAGCGGGGGACAACAUUUGGAAACGAAUGCUAAUACCGCAUAACAACUUUAAACAUAAGUUUUAAGUUUGAAAGAUGCAAUUGCAUCACUCAAAGAUGAUCCCGCGUUGUAUUAGCUAGUUGGUGAGGUAAAGGCUCACCAAGGCGAUGAUACAUAGCCGACCUGAGAGGGGGAUCGGCCAAGUUGGGACGGAGACACGGCCCAAACCCCUACGGGAGGCAGCAGUAGGGAAUCUUCGGCAAUGGACGAAAGUCUGACCGAGCAACGCCGCGUGAGUGAAGAAGGUUGUCGGAUCGUAAAACUCUGUUGGUAGAGAAGAACGUUGGUGAGAGUGGAAAGCUCAUCAAGUGACGGUAACUACCCAGAAAGGGACGGCUAACUACGUG
rnacentral:rRNA from 1 species